rnacentral:rRNA from 1 species
UGGCGGACGGGUGAGUAAUGUCUGGGAAACUGCCUGAUGGAGGGGGAUAACUACUGGAAACGGUAGCUAAUACCGCAUAACGUCGCAAGACCAAAGAGGGGGACCUUCGGGCCUCUUGCCAUCGGAUGUGCCCAGAUAGGAUUAGCUAGUAGGUGGGGUAACGGCUCACCUAGGCGACGAUCCCUAGCUGGUCUGAGAGGAUGACCAGCCACACUGGAACUGAGACACGGUCCAG